UUUUUGCCGCCUCCUUUCUCUCUUUUCUCCUCUUCUUCCCUUUUCUCUUCUCAGUUCUGCACCUCUCUGUUUCUUUUACUUCCAGCAGUCACUCAUCAUGGCCCAAAACAAUGAUACUGUUGCUAUUCAUGAAGCUCUCAACGUCAAUAUGAUCAACAUCACCAAACUCACUUCUCACAACUACAUCACAUGGAGUCUGCAAGUUCACUCCCUGCUUGAUGGACACGAUCUUGCUGGCUUUCUUGAUGGUACCACUCCAGCUCCAGAACAGAUCCUCACUACUGACAACCAGACUACGACAAACCCAGCCUAUACCAAGUGGCGCCGACAAGACAAACUGAUCUAUAGCGGCCUCAUUGGGACGCUCUCCCCAACCAUUCAACCUGUUGUCACCAAGACCAAGACUGCAGCAGAACUGUGGACCAAACUUGCUGCAACCUAUGCUAAUCCUAGUUGGGGACACAUUCAACAACUGCGUCUACAACUAAAGCAAUUACCCAAAGGAGAAAAGAGUGUGGAUGACUACAUGCAAGGCCUCACAACUCGAUUUGACCAGCUUGCACUCCUUGGUAAACCGCUUGAGCAUGAGGAACAAGUGGAGUUCAUCCUUGGGGGUCUUCCUGAAGAUUACAAAUCUGUUGUUGAACAGAUUGAAGGACGUGAAAAGCCUCCUUCUCUCACUGAAAUUCAUGAGAAGUUGCUUACCAGAGAAGCAAAACUCCUGAUUGCUGCCUCAUCGGUCUCUGCCAGUGUUCCCAUCUCAGCGAAUGUUGCCACUUCUCGCUCACAACAGUCGCGCUCCUAUUAAAACAAACAAAAUCAGUAGCAGCAUCAGCCAUGGAAUAACAACAGCAACCAACAAUACCAGUCAAACAGAUCAGACAACCGUGGUUCCCGUGGUUAUCAAGGCAAGUGCCAACUCUGUGGAGUCUUUGGACACAGUGCCAAAAGGUGUAGUCAGCUCCAACAAUACAAUCCCACUCCUCAGAACAGCCUGCUUCCAACACCAUUUCGUCCUUGGCAACCGCGUGCUAACUUUGCAGCCACUACUUCAAACCCCUCCAACCCUUGGGUAAUGGACAGUGGCUCCACUCAUCAUCUCACCAGUGAUCUUCACAACAUGUCCUUGCAUCAGCCCUACAAUGGUGGUGACAAUGUUCUUAUUGGCGAUGGGACUGGUCUUCCCAUCACUCACACUGGUUCAACUAUCCUCCCUACUGCUACUCGCAAUUUAUCUCUUCAUCAUGUCUUGUGUGUUCCUAAUAUACAGAAAAAUCUCAUCUCUGUAUAUCGUCUAUGCAAUGCUAAUAAGGUUUCUGUUGAAUUUUUUCCUGCCCACUUUCAGGUGAAGGAUUUGAGCUCGGGGGUCCCGUUAAUCCAAGGCAAGACCAGCAAUGAGCUUUACGAGUGGCCAAUUUCCCUAUCCACCCUUAAAUCCUUCUUCACCUCCACCACACAAGCAAUAACCUUGGAUGAUUGGCACUGUCGUCUUGGUCACCCAUCUACCUAUAUCACCAAAACCAUUGUUUCUCGUUCUUUACUACCCUACAAACCAUCUGUACCCUCCUCUACUUUAUGUUCUGAUUGUUCUAUCAAUAAAGCACACAAACUACCUUUUUCUCAAAGUUCUAUUUCUUCUUCUCGUCCCUUGGAAUACAUCUUUACAGACCUUUGGAGUUCUCCUAUUGUUUCUGUUGACAAUUACAAGUAUUACCUUGUACUUGUUGAUCACUACAGCAGAUACACAUGGCUAUACCCUCUGAAACUCAAAUCUCAAGUCCGUGAAACAUUUCAAGCAUUCAAGGCGCUUGUCGAAAACCGGUUCUCCACCAAGAUAGGCACUCUCUACUCCGACAAUGGUGGCGAGUUUAUAGCUCUCCGGGGGCUUCUCUCUGCUGCCGGCAUCUCACAUCUCACAUCACCACCACACACACCCGAACACAACGGUGUCUCUGAACGAAAGCACAGACAUGUAGUGGAGACAGGCCUCACAUUACUCACACAUGCUGGAAUGCCAAAAUCCUACUGGUCGUAUGCCUUAACCGCCGCCACAUACCUCAUCAAUCGACUCCCCACACCCGUCAUAGCCAUGGAAACACCAUUUCAAAGACUGUUUGGUACAACUCCAAAUUACUCCAAACUCAGAGUAUUUGGAUGUCUAUGCUUCCCAUGGAUUCGCCCUUACACAAGUAACAAGCUUGAAGACCGCUCCACACCAUGUGUCUUUCUCGGUUACUCGCAGACCCAAAGUGCAUACCUCUGCCUGCAACAAAAUUCCGGUCGCAUAUACACAUCUCGCCAUGUGAAAUUCGAUGAGAGAGUGUUCCCUUUUGCAAAACCCAGAAAUCCUCCCACACCGCUGAGCCAUGAAACACCAACCCCAUCAAACACACCACCAGUCACCACAGUACCCAUCAAUCCAAAUCUUCAACCACCGAUUCAGCCCUCACCUACACCGUCGCUCGUUUUGCCGUCGCUCGUCUUGCCUCCGACGCCGGGACCACCAAGCUCUGAUUCUCACCGGGCAAGAGACUCUUCGACAUCAACCCCAACGCGUACACAUGACUCACAAGAUUCUCGAGUUUCCUUCACCAACGAUGGGCUUUCUUCAAGUUCAGGCCCAUCAACGGCCCGUUCAAACAUCACGCCCACAGCCAGCCCGUUAUCAAGUUCAGGCCCAAAUCCACCACAAUCUCCUACGCCUGAAGCUUCUUCUCCAUCUGCGACAUCGAGUGUUGCUCCCCAAGCUCACAGUCCCGAUCAUGCUCCACCUGCAAAUCAUCACCAAAUGGUCACUCGUCGGAAGAACAAUAUCACCAAACCAAAUCCGAAGUAUAACUAUGCAGCUGCACUCUCCAAAAGUAUCCCCGUCGAACCCAAUACAGUGAAGCAAGCUCUACAAGAUGAACGGUGGCGAGGAGCAAUGUCUGGUGAAAUGGAUGCCUUUACUCGGAAUCAGACAUUCUACCUGGUUCCAAGAGAAUCCCACUACAAUGUGGUUGGUUGUAAGUGGAUUUACAAGAAUAAAUUUCUGUCUAAUGGGUCUCUUGACAGGUGCAAAGCUCGGUUGGUGGCUAAGGGCUAUAAUCAACAAUAUGGUUAUGAUUAUACUGACACGUUCAGUCCUGUUAUCAAGUCAACCACAAUCAGACUCGUUCUUGAUGUUGCCGUAACAAACUCGUGGCCAAUUCUCCAACUUGAUGUCAACAAUGCCUUCCUCCAAGGCACAUUAACGGAGGAAGUUUACAUGGAACAACCACCUGGUUUCGUUGACAAAGACAAGCCGAAUCAUGUAUGUCGACUCCGUAAGGCAAUUUACGGCUUAAAGCAAGCACCACGGGCAUGGUACACAGAACUUCGCACCUUUCUCGUUAGUCUUGGCUUUGUGAACUCCAUAUCCGACACAUCUCUGUUUGUGUUAAAAGUCCGGAAUGCUUUUGUCUAUCUCCUAGUCUAUGUCGAUGACAUCCUAAUCACAGGGAGUAGCAAACACGGAAUACAACGUAUUCUACAACUCCUAGCUGAUCGUUUCUCCGUUAAAGAUGCAGAAGACCUCAAUUAUUUUCUUGGAAUUGAAGCACGCCGAACAUCUAACGGCCUACACCUCUGCCAACGGAAGUACAUUCUCGAUCUUCUCCAUCGUUAUGACAUGACAAAUGCCAAGCCAGUUCUCACACCAAUGGCUUCCUCGCCCAAGCUGACGCUUACCACCGGUGUUCCGUUGGAUGAUCCCAAAGAAUAUCGCCAACUGGUUGGCAGUCUCCAAUACCUAGCCUUUACUCGAUUGAAUAUUGCGUAUGCUGUCAACCGCCUCUCACAGUUCAUGCACCGUCCCACACAAGAUCAUUGGCAAGCGGCCAAGCGCAUUCUCCGUUACCUAGCUGGGACGAUCACGCACGGUAUUUUCUUCUCCGCAACAAAUAAGCUCACUCUCCAUGCUUACUCGGAUGCCGACUGGGCUGGUGACUCACAUGACUAUGUCUCCACCAAUUCCUACAUUGUUUAUCUCGGCAAACAUCCCAUCUCUUGGACAGCAAAGAAGCAAAAGGGUGUAGCAAGAUCCUCCACCGAAGCGGAAUACCGAGCAGUGGCUAACGUUGCAUCGGAGUUAACUUGGGUAUGUAACAUUCUCACUGAACUUGGAAUCCCAAUACCAGCCACGCCUAUUGUUUACUGUGAUAACGUUGGAGCUACAUUUCUUUGUGCAAAUCCGGUGUUUCACUCUCGCAUGAAACACAUUGCCAUUGAUUAUCACUUUGUUCGUGGUCAAGUUCAACAAGGUGCCUUACAAGUACGACAUGUCAAUACAACAGACCAGUUGGCCGACGCAUUAACGAAGCCACUCUCCAGGGCCCGAUUCAUCUAUCUCAGAAACAAGAUUGGAGUCUCUCCGGUACCUCCAUCUUGAGGGGGCGUGUUAGAGAUACGAUUAAGAUUCUCACUAAUGUCUCAAUAUUUGAUUAGUCUCUUUAAGGAACAUUCUGUAAUUAGCUUACCCUAAGAGUUCCUCUUCUCUGUCUGUAUAAAUAAGGAUCUGUACAAUACAUUGUAAAAUAUGCAGUAAUAUAUCAUUCAUAUCCAGUGUCGACCACGAAACACA
rnacentral:lncRNA from 1 species